rnacentral:tRNA from 2 species
AGGGGGCGGAUGUAGCCAAGUGGUUAA